rnacentral:rRNA from 1 species
UUCCUCCGGCUUAUUGAUAUGCUUAAGU